CGUGCGCACGUGCCGAAUCCCGUAAGGGAACCGGGGAACCACCAAUUGGGGUGAAUCGGUCACCCUUCGCCGCUCAGUCCGCGGUCGAGGGCGCCCGUAGGAGACCUUCCUGCUCCGAACCCGUCAGCUAACCCGGUAGGCGAGAAGGAAGGAAAGG
rnacentral:sRNA from 2 species